rnacentral:tRNA from 1 species
GUCCCUGUAGCUUAAAAAAAGCAUGACACUGAAGAUGUUAAGAUGGUAGCCUCAUGCACCCAAGGACA